UACGUAGGUGGCAAGCGUUGUCCGGAUUUACUGGGCGUAAAGAGCGCGCAGGCGGUCGUUCAAGUCGCGUGUGAAAGCCCCCGGCUCAACUGGGGAGGGUCACGCGAUACUGAUCGACUCGAAGGCAGGAGAGGGUAGUGGAAUUCCCGGUGUAGUGGUGAAAUGCGUAGAGUAUCGGGAGGAACACCAGUGGCGAAGGCGAACUACCUGGCCUGUUCUUGACGCUGAGGCGCGAAAGCUAGGGGAGCAAACGGGGAUUAAGAUACCCCGAGUAGU
rnacentral:rRNA from 1 species